AUUGAACGCUGGCGGCAGGCCUAACACAUGCAAGUCGUGCGGAGCGGCGGACGGGAGAGUAAUGUCUAGGAAUCUGCCUGGUAGUGGGGGAUCCCGUCCGGAAACGGGCGCAAAUACCGCAUACUAUCAGAUGAGCCUAGGUCGGGUAAGUUGGUUGGUGGUGUAAAGGCCUACCAAGGCGACGCUCCGUAACUGUACUGAGAGGAUGAUCAGUCACACUAGAAUUGAGACAUGGUCCAGACUCCAACGGGAAGCAGCAAUGGGGAAUAUUGAGCAAUGGGCGAAAGCCUGAUCCAUCCAUGCCGCGUGUGUGAAGAAGGUCUUCGGAUUGUAAAGCACGUUAAGUUGGGAGGCGUUACCAACAGAAUAAGCGCCGGCUAACGUCGUGCCAGCAGCCGCGGUAAUUC
rnacentral:rRNA from 1 species